rnacentral:rRNA from 1 species
UACGGAGGGUGCAAGCGUUGUUCGGAAUUAUUGGGCGUAAAGCGCGUGUAGGCGGCUAAGUAAGUCUGGUGUGAAAGCCCGAGGCUUAACCUCGGAAGUGCACUGGAUACUACUUAGCUAGAGGGUUAGAGAGGAAAGCGGAAUUCCUGGUGUAGGGGUGAAAUCCGUAGAUAUCAGGAGGAACACCGAUGGCGAAGGCAGCUUUCUGGCUAACAUCUGACGCUGAGACGCGAAAGCGUGGGUAGCAAACAGG